rnacentral:rRNA from 1 species
AGCAGCCGCGGUAAUUCCAGCUCCAAUAGCGUAUAUUAAAGUUGUUGCAGUUAAAAAGCUCGUAGUUGAAUUUCGGGACUAAUAUGUCGGUCGUACUUUGUACGUACUAGCAUUAUUGGUUUCUCCCUUCUGACGAACCACGAUGUCAUUAAUUUGGUGUCAUGGGAAAUCAGGACUGUUACUUUGAAAAAAUUAGAGUGUUUAAAGCAAGCUCGCGCUUGAAUACAUUAGCAUGGAAUAAUGAAAUAGGACGUUUGAUUCUAUUUUGUUGGUUCUAGGAUCGACGUAAUGAUUAAUAGGGAUAGUUGGGGCAUUAGUAUUCAAUUGUCAGAGGUGAAAUUCUUGG